rnacentral:rRNA from 1 species
CCUACGGGUGGCAGCAGUGGGGAAUAUUGGGCAAUGGGCGCAAGCCUGACCCAGCAACGCCGCGUGAAGGAAGAAGGCUUUCGGGUUGUAAACUUCUUUUCUCAGGGACGAAGAAAGUGACGGUACCUGAGGAAUAAGCCACGGCUAACUACGUGCCAGCAGCCGCGGUAAUACGUAGGUGGCAAGCGUUAUCCGGAUUUAUUGGGUGUAAAGGGCGUGUAGGCGGGAGCGCAAGUGAGAUGGGAAACCUUAGGGCUCAACCCUGGGCCUGCAUUUGAUACUGUGUUUCUUGAGUGCUGGAGAGGCAAGUGGAAUUCCGGGUGUAGCGGUGAAAUGCGUAGAUAGAAGGAGGAACACUAGUGGCGAAGGCGGAUUGCUGGACAGUAACUGACGCUGAGGCGCGAAAGCGUGGGGAGCAAACAGGAUUAGAUACCCGGGUAGUC